rnacentral:rRNA from 1 species
GGAGUAUGGGCCGUGUCUCAGUCCCAUUGUGGCUGAUCAUCCUCUCAAACCAGCUACUGAUCGUCGCCUUGGUGGUCCAUUACACCGCCAACUAGCUAAUCAGAUGCAGACUCAUCCUUGAGCACCGGAGUUUUCAAGAUAAGCAUUUCAGCUUAGCUCAUAUGGGGUAUUAGCAGGAGUUUCCCUCUGUUGUCCCCCACUCAAGGGCAGAUUCUCUACAUAUUACUCACCCGUCCGCCACUUUCCUCUCUAGCAAGCUAGAGAUUCUCGUUCGACUUGCAUGUAUGAAGCACGCCGCCAGCGUUCGUCCUCGAGCCACUGAUCAAACUCU